GAUGAACGCUGGCGGCGUGCCUAAUACAUGCAAGUCGAGCGAAUGGAUUAAGAGCUUGCUCUUAUGAAGUUAGCGGCGGACGGGUGAGUAACACGUGGGUAACCUGCCCAUAAGACUGGGAUAACUCCGGGAAACCGGGGCUAAUACCGUAUAACAUUUUGAACCGCAUGGUUCGAAAUUGAAAGGCAGCCUCGGCUGUCACUUAUGGAUGGACGCGCGUCGCAUUAGCUAGUUGGUGAGGUAACGGCUCCCCAAGGCAACGAUGCGUAGGCGACCUGAGAGGGUGAUCGGCCACAAUGGGACUGAGACACCGCCCAGACUCCUACGGGAGGCAGCAGUAGGGAAUCUUCCGCAAUGGACGAAAGUCUGACGGAGCAACGCCGCGUGAGUGAUGAAGGCUUUCGGGUCGUAAAACUCUGUUGUUAGGGAAGAACAAGUGCUAGUUGAAUAAGCUGGCACCUUGACGGUACCUAACCAGAAAGCCACGGCUAACUACGUGCCAGCCGCCGCGGUAA
rnacentral:rRNA from 1 species